GGAAGGUUGGCGUAGUGGCCGCGCACCGGACUUUUAAUCCGGGUCAGGACGAGUUCGAAUCUCUCACCUUCCACCA
rnacentral:tRNA from 1 species